GCGGCUGUAGCUCAGUAGGAUAGAGCAAGUGACUUCUAAUCACUAGGUCGCAGGUUCGAUUCCUGCCAGCCGCGCCA
rnacentral:tRNA from 2 species